UACGUAGGGACCGAGCGUUGUCCGGAUUCAUUGGGCGUAAAGAGCUCGUAGGCGGCUGCUCAAGUCGAAUGUGAAAACUCGAGGCUCAACCUCGAGCCUGCAUUCGAUACUGGGCGGCUAGAGUCUGGUAGGGGGAUCUGGAAUUCCUGGUGUAGCGGUGGAAUGCGCAGAUAUCAGGAGGAACACCGGUGGCGAAGGCGGGAUCCUGGGCCAGUACUGACGCUGAGGAGCGAAAAGCGUGGGGAGCAAACGGG
rnacentral:rRNA from 1 species